AUCGCUUCUCGGCCUUUUGGCUAAGAUCAAGUGUAGAAAAUUGUGUAAAGGUGUACAUCAAGCCUGAACAUAGAGACAUACCUGUAAAAACAGGUACAUCAUGUGAUGGGGUAAAUCAGGCAUGAAAAUUUCUUUUUUUAUUUAUUAAUUUAUUUAUUUAUUCCAUUUGCUAAUUGGGUUAGAACACUGAUU